AUUGAACGCUGGCGGCAGGCCUAACACAUGCAAGUCGAGCGGAUGAAGGGAGCUUGCUCCUGGAUUCAGCGGCGGACGGGUGAGUAAUGCCUAGGAAUCUGCCUGGUAGUGGGUGAUAACGUCCGGAAACGGGCGCUAAUACCGCAUACGUCGUGAUGGAGAAAGUGGGGGAUCUUCGGACCUCACGCUAUCAGAUGAGCCUAGGUCGGAUUAGCUAGUUGGUGGGUUAAAGGCCUACCAAGGCGACGAUCCGUAACUGGUCUGAGAGGAUGAUCAGUCACACUGGAACUGAGACACGGUCCAGACUCCUAAGGGAGGCAGCAGUGGGGAAUAUUGGACAAAGGGCGAAAGCCUGAUCCAGCCAUGCCGCGUGUGUGAAGAAGGUCUUCGGAUUGUAAAGCACUUUAAGUUGGGAGGAAGGGCAGUAAGUUAAUACCUUGCUGUUUUGACGUUACCAACAGGAUAAGCACCGGCUAACUUCGUG
rnacentral:rRNA from 1 species